GUUGGACCCGGCUCCGCCCUACCCCACGGGGCCGCCUGGAGAGGUGCUGGGAGCUGGGUGGAGCUUAGAGGAAUUAAACUUUGGCCCUGCGCCUCGUCCAGCCUAGGUUCCACCCUUUUCUGGGAACGUGAGUAUCAACCAAGGCUGGAGUGCAGUGGCACCAUCUCGGCUCACUGCAACCUCUGGCUCCCAGGUUCAAGCGAUUCUCCUGCCUCAGCCCCCUGAGUAGCUGGGAUUACAGGCACGCGCCACCACUCCCAGUUUACACCCCGCCACUCCUGAGCACCGCACACCGGCUUCCUCCCAGUCCCUCAUCUGAGAACUCAUGAAGCCACUUGGAAUCCCUCUCUGCUUUGCCUGGCUCAUUCCAUGUCAAUUUCAGAUCUUCACUUCAGGUCAGCUCCAAGGAGGCUAUCCUUGCCCAUCUUCCUAAAAUAGAGCUCUCAAAACCUGGCUGUUUUCCUUCAGAGCACUGGCCUCCAAUUGCUCCGGUAGAUUGCAAAUGACCUGCUUUCUUUCUGUUCCCGGGCGUUUGGACCCCUGUCUUGGACCGCUGUCGGAUAGUAAAUCCCAAGUAAGGUACCUGCCGUCGGCAGAUUUGAGCUUUCUUCUUGGACACCUAAUACCCAGAGUCCUCCAGGCUCCGGUAGAUUGCAAAUGACCUGCUUUCUUUCUGUUCCCGGGCGGCAUCGGACCCGUCGGAGAGUAAAUCCCAAGUAAGGUACCUGCCGUUGGCAGAUUUGAGCUUUCUUCUUGGACACCUAAUACCCACAGUCCUCCAG
rnacentral:lncRNA from 1 species